CUGGACAAAGACUGACGCUCAGGUGCGAAAGCGUGGGGAGCAAACAGGAUUAGAUACCCUUGGUAGUCCACGCUGUAAACGAUGUCGAUUUGAAGGUUGUUCCCUUGAGGAGUGGCUUUCGGAGCUAACGCGUUAAAUCGACCGCCUGGGGAGUACGGCCGCAAGGUUAAAACUCAAAUGAAUUGACGGGGGCCCGCACAAGCGGUGGAGCAUGUGGUUUAAUUCGAUGCAACGCGAAGAACCUUACCUACUCUUGACAUCCAGAGAACUUAGCAGAGAUGCUUUGGUGCCUUCGGGAACUCUGAGACAGGUGCUGCAUGGCUGUCGUCAGCUCGUGUUGUGAAAUGUUGGGUUAAGUCCCGCAACGAGCGCAACCCUUAUCCUUUGUUGCCAGCGAUUCGGUCGGGAACUCAAAGGAGACUGCCGGUGAUAAACCGGAGGAAGGUGGGGAUGACGUCAAGUCAUCAUGGCCCUUACGAGUAGGGCUACACACGUGCUACAAUGGCGUAUACAAAGAGAAGCGACCUCGCGAGAGCAAGCGGAACUCAUAAAGUACGUCGUAGUCCGGAUUGGAGUCUGCAACUCGACUCCAUGAAGUCGGAAUCGCUAGUAAUCGUAGAUCAGAAUGCUACGGUGAAUACGUUCCCGGGCCUUGUACACACCGCCCGUCACACCAUGGGAGUGGGUUGCAAAAGAAGUAGGUAGCUUAACCUUCGGGAGGGCGCUUACCACUUUGUGAUUCAUGA
rnacentral:rRNA from 1 species